CACACGUGCACCUAACUGAUCACCUCUAAAUGAUCUAAAUCUAAAUGAUUUGUUUUUCACAGUCUCUUAAAUGUGAGGUAUUAAAUGCUUUGAUCAUUUUCUUAUUGCUAAUUAAAUGUCUUUGGGUUUUUCAACUUUACACUUUGGGCUCUGGGAGACAUUUCAACAGACAGUUGACAUUAUUUCUAACAUUAAUUAGCCUAAACGAAUCAUUUUUAAAGUGAAAUGACAAUUGAUACAUUGAUUUGUAAUUGAAACAAUCAUUAGCAUUACUGUUGGUACUUUUAUAGGUUUGAUACAUAGUCCAAGUUGGCUAGAGGGUCGCAUAACAAGGCGUCAGAUUACGUAGAUUGUCCUUUAUGUUGUCAUAUUAAUAAUGUAUGUAUAAGUCCAGAGGUACAGUACAUAUAUCAGUUUAAGUCAGAUAAAAAGGAUACAUUGAUCAAAAUGAGAAGAAAAAACAUUCAGUUAAUGCCAUUGCAGGGUUUUAGUGAGUAUGUAUGUUUUUUCUGAUUUGUCACCCCUUCCUUGAAUUUGAAAACAAAUCCCUAGUUGUGGAAUCUCAUUUGGCCUUGUCUCUUUUUGUAAAUGUUAAACUCUACAGUAUCCCUUUUUUUCCCCUCUAUAUUUGGCUACUCUACGCAGUACUGCAGCCUGUUGUCCACAUAAUACUAUUUAGGUCAAUGCCGGUGACACAUUGAGCUCACUAUAAAACUUGGAUAACGAAAUGUUAAAAGCAUAGCUCCCUACAAAGUCGAUUGUAUGUUCUUUUUCCUACUGACCAGUAACUAGGCCAAAAAUAUCCAGAUUUUUCAUGCCACUUUGUUCUGUGACUCAGCUCCAGUUUUUGGUCUCUCCGUCUCUAUAAAUAAACCCUCCCUGACUUUGAAAAGCAGGUCACGUUUGUUUGUUGAGUUCACCAGUGAUGGCUCCCUUGAGAACGGGGAUCACUCGUAGUCCCUGUCUGGCUCUGUACCCCUAUCCCCGUUCAGAGGGCAGGAGAUUUUACAGACGCUCAGCUGUUGACAUGACUUUCUUUAUGGGAGCCCAUAACCAAGUGUUAAUGUUUGCUUGAAGCGUGGCUAUCAUGUAUCUUUGGAGGGUGUUCAGGUUUGGACCACAGACGUGCUGGUGGUGUCACAGAGCGACUGCUGCUUAACCACAGCACCCUGGCCGACUGCAGUAUUUGUUUUUAGGGGGUGUUAAAGGCAGUUCAAAUGUGCCAAGUACUUGAAGUAUGUGCUUUUUACUUUUCUGGUUGAAAUUGCCAUUAUGGGUAUGGAAAUGUGCCAAAAACCAAUUUGUUGAUUUAGUAUGUCUUUAAAAAGUUGUGUGAGGAUGGAAUUAUAAAAAUCUACCGUGUCAUGUAUCACCUCAAACAUAGUUCCUGUCAACAGUUUAAUAACCGCUGUCAAUCAAUUCUCACGGUAACCUAGCCUAUAUUUAACUGUACGAUCAAUACUAAUGCUCUACACUCUGCCAGUGCUCAUACCUAGUAACAGCUCAACUAACUGAUGUUUAAACCAGACUUACCCAAUCAAUAAUAAUAAUAAUAUUAUUAUGAUAUGCACUGUAAGACGAUGCAUAUGCCAACCAUCAGGGAUUCUUCCUUAUACUGCGGUACCUACUCUAUCCCCUUAAAGCUCCUGAAAUCAUGUUCAGUGAUUCAGUCAGUUUUACACCACCACCAUGCAGUUUUUGUCAUUUUGCACACCAUGAUGGUGUUACACAAAAAAACUAACAAAAAAUGUGGCCCUAAUCUUAUUAAACGUUAUAAUUUUGAGCAAUAGUUUUAUUAUUUGCUACCUUAUCAAGUGCAAAAGGUGAAGCUCGAUAUCUGAAGGUAGGUAGAACAUGGUCCAAGAUCCUGUAAGUUUACUCCUGUUGUUUCAUGGUGCUGUGAUACACUUCUAACAAGAUUAUUGAUCUUAAUCACCCAAACAUAUGAAGAUCAAAGGUUACAUUUCCCCUAAUACUGAAACAUUCGCAAGUGGCACAGUACACAUCACACGUUUUGUAAUAUCCUGUAAGGCUUUGUAAACUAAAUCAACACGGUAUGAGACAACAUUGCCUCAUCUGUUCUUUGUGUUCCCUUUCGGAGCACAUAGACGCCUGCAGAAAUUGUUGCUCAAACACACAUUGAGGCCCAGAAUGCAUUGAGAGAUACACACAGUUUUGUCCUAGUUUUCCAACAGACUUUUGGCUGGAAUGUAGGCCCCUGAGGCUAAGCUCAAGUUUUCUAAUUUUUCCACAGUGUGUGUCAUAAAUCUGUGACAGAGGCCUACAUUUGCAUAUGAGUGGCUACAGAUAAAUUAAGACAGUUAAGGUGUUAAGGUUUCUAAUAUGGCUAUGUGACAUGGUUCAGAUUGAAACGUCUCCGUGUGGGACACUUCGUAUGACUUGGAUUUAGUGGUCUAUUAGUAGAAGGGUGCAGGCUGUUUACCUUGUGUUUGAGGGGUGUGCAUUACACGUAGGCCUGAGGUGAGCUGGCCUAUAAACUCUAGAGAGACCCCACACACCUCAGCAAUUGGAGCAGCAGGAGUAUAAGUAACUGGCAACGAUCUCAUCAGAGAUACAGUCCGCUUCUCGCCUCAGCUCUAAGUAGACGGUCAUAUGUUUGUGUGUGUGCGCGUGUGUUUGUGUACAUGUGCAUACUGACAGCGUGAGAAAUGCGAGAAGGGGCUUGCAGCAGGGGAGCAACGACCCCUGUAAAGCAGAUAUGCAAGAGAGUCAAGGACGCUGUAAGCAACAAUAACACAACAUCCGGUCUGCACGCAAACACUGUAAACACGAGUUUUCAAUAAUAUUUGAUGAUAAGAUUUUAUCUGAUGCCCGUUUAGUAAAUGUACAACUUUCCAUGACUGUAGCUUCCGUUGUGGAUUUUAUGGAAAAACAAAUCUACAAAUCAUGAUGAAGCCUUCAAACAUGUGAAAUAGUGGGGGAUGUCUAGAAGGACUUUUGAAAAGCAUACAAUGUAGGCCAUAGGUGUCAUGUGUCUGUGUGGAGAUUUUGAAGGGGGGGGGAUUGUUGUUCAGAAGUAAAAUGGUUUUAGUUAAAAAACUAUAGACUAAAACUAAAGUCAUUUGUGCUCAUGGUCAGUGUUGGAUUUGGAGGAGGCCUGUCAACGUUUAGAACAGUUUGGUUUUGUCAAAUGAGAUUUUCUGGAUGUGUUUUUGUCUGUGCUCUUCUCACUGGUCUGAAGUGGGCGAGGCCUAGAUGGAAAAAGGUGAUGUCACAUAUUUGUGUGCACCAGUCGGCUUUAGCUGACAACAUUUGGGUGGUUGUUUGCGUGUGUUGAUCAAAUCUGAUGUAACCACACCCACAGAGUCCUGGUGAAGCACUUUUGUUGAGAUUUUGAGUUUUUAAACUCUUAAUAAAUACUAACUUAAGAUGUGUUUUUUUUCCCUCAAACGUUACUUUUCAUUUUUCCUUAUGAGUCAUUUUUAUUUACAGUUCUUCUUCUGUGGAGGCCAGCAUGUUGAACCGCCAUGUUUCUACAGUAGCCUGGAACGGACAAACCAAAAACUGGCUCUAGAUAGGGCUGUUUGCGCUUUUCAUUCACUUCGUGGCCAAAAUGGCUGCUGUGCAGGUGUAGCUGUUAUGUCAUUUAACAAAACAAAUUACUGAUCCUAAAUGACUAGCCUACUCACUUUUAUAUAAGCUACAUUGAGAUGUGAAUUUAUUUAUCCUCAGUUGUGUAAGUGCCACCAGUCUCCCAAGGUCAACACAGUUAGAAGAAAGAAGAGAGAGUGAUGAUAGCAAAGGUGACAGAGGGUGACAAGUGAGCAAGAGGAGGAGGAGGAGUAAAGGCAAUUUAGAUGGUGUAUGCUACUGCUUUGGGCAGAGGGCCCAAACCCUCAGUUUGCUGGGAGACCACAGUAGGGGGUGGAGAGAGGGGGGGCUAGUUGAAUUGCAAGAGGUUACGUGAUUAUAAUGCAGAAAGGCUUACAGAGUAGGGGUGUCAACAAAAGGACAAAGCUUUACUGAACCCAAGAUUUCCCUGUAACUCAGUGCAUGUUCAUUAUGCUUCUGUGUGAAACAGAAUUAGAAACACUCAUUUUGCAGAGUAGGACACAGAUGUUUUCCUGUUUGUCCUGCAGUGCUGCUCCCCCACUAACUGUCCUCUAUCCAAGCAUCAUCAGCCAAUAUUUCUUCCCCUCCAGGGGCCCCGUACCGCCCCACUGGAAGUGUAGAAAGCAGGCAACAACACAAGCGCAUUCUCCCUUUCGUAUUUAUAACAUCUGACAUAUUCUUUUCCCGGUGUCAGAUAGCAUUGUAAUCCUCUGCCAGCCUUUUCUUAGCCUAGCAUCAAUCUGUGUUUCAGGUUUGGCUGUGGGAUAAAUGUCUGCCUUCGGCAUUGACAGGGUGGGGGGUGUUAGGGGGGUGGCUUCGGCCAGGCUCAUUAGA